rnacentral:lncRNA from 1 species
CAGUCCGUGCGCGUGCCGCGCCGUGGGCCAGUCCGCCCACCAGGCCGCGUUCUACGCUGCCCAGUCCGCGCCACCAGGCCGCCUGCAAAAAAAUUGAGUCUAAAUUGGAGGAGUUAGGGGAUCGAACUCAGGAUAUCACAAACAACACCCUUAAUCCUUAACCACUAUGCUACAAGGCUACUUCUGCUAUACUAAUAAAACGUAUUGUAUAUAUGUGCAAUACAGAUAUGAAGAGAAAUAUCCGUGGUAUUAACCACGGCUUAUCAGGUUGCUUAUGCCGUAUAAAGAGACGAUAUUAUAACUAUGAAUAUACUGUUAAUGAGAAAAUAAAAAAUAAUCAUAUUUCAAACGUAUAAUUUUAUUUGAAGAAGUUUCUUAUUUAAGCAAGAUUUUUUACCUAUAUGAUAUAUAGAAACCGUACGAACAUACAGUCAGCUAACUAGUUCAUUUUAAAUUCCAAAAAAUAUUUAGUUCAAUCUAAUCAGAAUUUACUAUUGACUACGUUUUUUCACAAUAUGUCUUAUCAGAAAUAUCAUACGAGACAGUUUUUUGUUUACAAGUUUCUAGUAUACUCACUAACAUCUAAGACAAUUUAUAUAGUCUAGAUGAAUCUAAUAAUAUCUUUAUUUGAGAUGGUUUCAUAUACAGAAGUGUCUAAUAUACUAACCAAAAUAAAAGACACUUCUUGUAAACUUAAUGCCUCAAAAGGUAUAUUUAUUUGAGACGGUUUUCAAAAUCAAACUGUAUUAAAUAGAUAUAAGACAUUUCCAACCAUAUAUCUGUCUCAAAAACCUUCUUCAUUAAAGACGGAUGUCCAACAAACCGUCUUACAUUACUCAGCACCAUAUGAUAAAAGACGCUUCUAUAAAAUGCACUGAUAUUUGUCUUAAGAUGUAUGUCUUAAAUAAGCAUAUUUCUAGUAGUGAUGGUAAAGGAGGAUGAAAAAAUUUCAAAGAAGAGAAAAUCCACUCCUGAGCCGAACGGUAGUUUCGAAGAAGAGGAAGGCUGAACCUCCGGAGCCGAAGAUAACUGAGGCAGCAGAGGAGACUCCUUCGACGCCUCCUGCUGCUGAAAUAGCAGAAAUUUUAAAGGUAACGACUGAAUCUUUACCCAUCAAGCUGCUAAGUCCUCUAGGACCAGAACUGACAAAACUUUUACAGAAGAAGGGUGAUCCUCCGGCCACAAAGGAGAAGGCUGACGGGCAGAAAAAAUGAAGAAUUGUUAAUGUCAUGCAAGCCAUUGAACAGACACCACCGCUGGCCUCGGCGUCCAAAAUAAUGCCUGUUGCAAGUGCCGGGGCCACUGCCGAAGCUGAAACAUUUGCCAAAGCUGCAGCUGCCGCCGAAACUACCAAUCUUGAAAGUACACUGUCAGGAAUUGAUAAGCUUCUUUCGGAUAUGGCUGUAGAAGAGAUAGUUGCGGCUGUAGAGAAGGUCAUGGCCACAGUGCCUGACAAAGGAAAAAAGAUUGCUGAUGCUGCUUCAGAAGAAAGGGACUUUGACCUUCGGAACCUGGUGGGUCAAGAAUUGUCCGAGGCUGAGAAGGAGCUGCAGGAAUAUGGGAUAUCCUGUGGCUACCAGCCAGGAGCUAUGCUCUUCGGUGGAAUUGACGAAGGAGCCUUAGGAUGUAUUCGCGAUCGCGUCGAGGCAAAGAUAAUCGGCACUCUAUCAAAGAGUGUUGGUUUCCCGAAGCUUGAGGCUGAUAUUAGCGGCUAUCGGUGACAACAUAUCGUCGACAGUCUGUUUUACACCAAUUUCAAGGUAAAAUUCUUUUUGCCUAGGUUUCUGUUAUCUUUGUGAUGAAUCAAGAUUUUCUGAUGUCAACUUAUUUCCACAGAGUAUGCUACUAAGUAAAGCAUUGAGGAUGCAGCAAGACCUUGAGGACAAGAAAAAUGAAAUCAUAAUCGAGGGCUUGGAGAGUAAAAUUAAGGAUUGCAAAGCUUCUCUAGAGAAGAACGACUUCUAGCUCCAAGCAACAGAGGGUUCGCUUGCAGAAAUUCAAGCUAAAAUUGCUAGAUUAAGCGAGGAGCUUCUCCAAAGUCAAACAACCUUAAAAGAAAAAUCAGAGCUUUGAACAAGAGAAGAAAGAACUGCAAGCAAAGUAUGAAGCUGAAGCUGAUAAAAAUACAAAGCUGCAGAAAUCUUUGAAGGACCUUUGGAAUACAUGCUUGGAAUUUGGCAGCCGCUGCGUGCAACGCUUAAAGAAGGUCUUCAGCUCGGUUGGGGCCAGUUGUGAAGAUAUUACCCCUUCGUCUGAAGACAUAUCCAAUACCUUCAAACAUAUUGAAAAUGAAGUUGAUGCACUCGAUGAAGUGAUAGCGGGGCAUGGUGACUUCUUUGCUUUGCUAGCUUCUCACGACACAGUUGCUGCAUUCUUGAAGGCCAGCUGCACGCAUGCGAAGACAGUAAAUAGACAGGCCUUCAGCCUAUCGCCAUCAGAUCUGAUUGAUAUUCCUAGUGAAGCCCGAAGCAUCGGAAAUAGAUUCAUCACUCAGAUUUGGGCUAAGGGUGGACGAGAGUUGGCCGGAGACGAAGCCCGAAAGCUGCUUAAACCAGUACAUAACUUAUACCUGUUGCUUGCCUUGAUUCUUAUAAUUACUUUUACCUUAUACCAUUGUUUGUCUGUAGGAUAGCAGUGCCGAAGGUUGAUAACCCAAAGCAUAUUCCGAAGGUUGCUGAGAUGAAGCUUCUCCUUAAGCCUUCCUGUAUAGAGCUUAGGAAUAUUUGCAUUAUCUUUGCAAAAAAAUGUAAUCGAGAAUUAAACAGUACUAUGUAUAUUUGUCCAUACCUUGUAAUAUAUUUUUACCUUUUCAUCCAUGUACGAAUUACUUUGUUGUGGACGAAAUUCGUAUCUUUUGAGCCGAAGGCGAAAAACACCUUCCCUUCUUUUCAUACACAUCGAAGCAUUUCCUUGCAUAAAAUGACUGUAUGUUUGAAACGAAGCUUCUUCAUGUUCAUCGAAGCACUUUGUCAUCGAAGCCAGAGUAUUUCUGUUCAUGUUUUAUGUCAUGAUGAUGAUGAUCCUACGAAUGUCUAAAUGAAUGUCUGUAUGAAUGCAAUGAAUGAUGUGAUGUAAUAUGCAAAUGAAUGUCCCAAAUGCACACGAAGCCACACCCAGACUCUGCAUCCCCCUUAGGAAUGACUUUGGAGUCUUUAAGCUCUGCAUUCCCUUAGGAACGACUUUGGAGCUUCUUCACCUUGUAUUUCGGUGGUAUUUAAGCUCUGCAUCCCCUUAGGAACGACUUUGGAGCUUCUUCACCUUCUAUUUCGGUGGAAUUUAAGCUCUGCAUUCCCUUAGAAAUGACUUUUGAGCUUCGGAACUUACGCUGCGCUCCCUUAGAAACGACUUUUGUAGCUUCGGAACUUACGCUGCCCUCCCUUAGGAACGACUUUUUAUGGCUUCGUCAUCCUUGGGGUGAUUACAGCUCUGUAUCCCCUUAGGGACGUCUUUCGAGCUUUUCCCUGUUUUUGUUUGCACUCGAUGGUGUAGGUUCUGAUAUUACAUAUUACAUCUUUGGGGGAUUUUUUCCUUGUAUUGCAUGGGACUAAAUAAGAAUGAAAAUUACAAACUAUGGCCCCAUUAUAAACCUUUCCGCUCUCCUAAAAGGAAAAGGGUACCAUAGGAAAAAUGAAAAAUGAUUACAUCAAUUACACAUAGUACCGCCGAAGCUCAUCCGCAUUCCAAGAUCUGGGUAUGUCGUUGCCGUCCAUAUCCUUCAAUCUGUAAGAACCGGGUCUUGACAAAGAUACUACUAGAAAAGGACCUUCCCACUUCAACUGCAACUUGCCCACUGUAUCUGGGUUGGCUACUCUUCGAAGCACCAAAUGACCUGGCUUGAUAUUUUUCAAUCGAACUUUCCUAUCACGCCAUUUUAUUGUUUCGGCCUGAUACUUAUUGAUGUGUUCCAUGGCCUGAAGUCUGGUCCCUUCUAUAGUGUCUUUUGUUAUUUGAGAAUCAGCUUCGUCCUCCGCUGAAGCUGUUGUUCUUAUUGAUCUUGUCUUUGCUUCUUCUGGUAUUAUUGCUUCAUCACCGAACAGGAGCUUGAAAGGUGUAAAACCUGUUGACCUUGAUACAGUUGUGUUAUGGCUCCACACCACUUUGAUCAACUCAUCUGGCCACUUUCCUCUGGGCUGGUUGAAGAUUAACUUCAUUAUUCCUAUCGUUAUAAUUCCAUUUGCUCUCUCUACCAACCCAUUUGAUUCCGGAUGCCUUACUGAUGCAAAAUGAAUUUUUGUACCAAUUCGGUCACAAAAUCUUUGAACAUUUCAGCAUCAAAUUGAGUUCCAUUGUCAACGGUUAUUGCCAUUGGCACGCCGAAGCGACGAACAAUAUUUUGCCAAAAGAAUUUCUGUACUGUGACCGAAGUUAUUGUGGCUAAGGGCUUUGCUUCGAUCCACUUAGAGAAAUAUUCCACUGCAAUGACGACAUAUUUCAAAUUUCCUUGAGCUGGUGGAAGUGGACCUAACAAAUCCAGACCCCACCUUUGAAGUGGCCAAGUUGGUUGUAUUAACUGGGUUAAAGACGAAGGUUGUUUCUGGUCUUUUGCACAUCUUUGACAAUUUUCACAUUUUUGAACCAGAUCUGCUGCAUCCGAAGUUGCCUUCAGCCAGUAAAAUCCUUGUCUGAAAACCUUCCCCAGCAAAGGCCUAGACCCAAUAUGAGACCCACAUAAUUCUGCAUGUAUUUCCUUCAUCAAUUCUUGACCUUCGGUUCUGGACAAACACUUGAGUAAUGGAGAGCAGACUCCAUAUUUAUAUAACUCCCCUUCUAUGAUCACACAUGGUCUUGUUCUUGCUUCCAUUCUUUUAUUAUAAACUUCUUCAUCCGAAAAGACAGUUGCCUUGGAGGAAAGAUAUAAUCUCAGUCCUCCAAUCUUCACUAUGUACAGGUGAUAUUACAAGCACUGCUCUCUCCAUAAGUUCGACUGAAGGUGCUUUUAUUGUUUUAAAGAACACUUCCAAAGGCAAAGGGAGCCCCUGUGCCGCUGACUUGGCUAGCAAAUCUGCAUGCUCAUUUUCCCCCCUUGGAAUAUUUUUUAUGGAAAAUCCUUCAAAAGAAGCUUCCAAUCAUUGGACUACAUCCAAAUAUUUUUCAAGCUUCGGACCCCUUGCCUUGCUACUUUUGUCUACAUGGCCAGAAAUAAUUUGGGAAUCAGUUUUGAGGAUCGCCCUUCUUAUUCCCAUUGCCUUUAUCUUCCAAAGCCCUAAAAGAAGAGCUUUGUACUCGACAAUGUCAUUUGUGCAACUAAAGUCCAAUUUUAAUGCAUAACAUGUCCUAACUUUAGAGGGUGCUACUAGAACAGCAGCCGCUCCUGCGCUGAAGGUUCCCCAAGAGCCAUCACAGAAUACCGUCCAGGCUUCGUCAUCUUUUGUUGUUUCUUCUCCCUAAGCCCUUGGCGUCCAAUCAACAAUGAAAUAUGCUAACGCCUGAGAUUGAAUUGAGGAUCUGUGUACAUAAUCAAUAGUAAAUUCAUUAAGCUCCACAGCCCAUUUUCCAAUUCUUCCUGUAGAUUCUCUAUUUCUCAUUAUAUCCUUCAGAGGUUGUGAUGAAGGUACUAUUAUAUGAUAUGCUUGAAAGUAAUGCCGAAGUUUCCUGGAGGCCAUCAACACAUCAUACAAUACCUUCUCCAACUCUGUGUAAUUUUUCUUUGAUAAACUGAGUACUUCGGAGACGAAGUAUACCGGUGCUUGUCUUUUUAGUUGGCCAUCAUGCUUCUCCUGUACCAGUGUCGCAUUAACUGCAGAAUGGGAGGCAGCCACAUACAGGAGUAACAGAGUUCUUGAUGAAGGUGGAGUUAGAGUUGUCAAAUCUAUCAGGUAUUUUUUUAACUCUUCGAAAGCCUUCUGUUGAGCCGAACCCCAUUGAAAAACUUCGGCUGACUUUAGUAUUUCAAAGAACGGUAGAUUCCUCUCUGCUGAUCUUGUUAUAAAUCUAUUUAGCGAUGCCAGCCUUCCUGCCAAUCGUUGAGCCCCCUUCUUUGAAUUUGGCGGUUCCAUCCGAAGGAUAGCUUCGAUCUUACUUGGGUUAGCUUCGAUACCCUUUGUUGAUACCAGAGAACCAAGAAACUUGCCCUUCUUUACUCCGAAAACACACUUUUCUGGAUUUAACUUGAGACCAGCCUGUUUGAAAUUGGCAAACGUCUUUUGCAAAUCGACAAUAUGAUUUUCUUAUUUUGUGCUUUUUACUAUGAUGUCAUCAACAUAAGUUAGCACAUUCCUGCCUAUUUGAGACUGAAGAACAUUGGCAGUCAUUCUGCUGAAGCUUUCUCCAGCAUUUUUGAGCCCCUCGGGCAUCCGAAGGUAGCAAUAGGUACCACUGGGAGUUAUGGAACUUGUCUUUGGCUCAUCCUCUUUUUUCAUCCAGAUUUGGUGAUAACAUGAGUAACAGUCUAAUAAGCUCAUGAGCUCUGAAGAAGCUGCUGCAUCUACAAGGGAUUCUAUUCUUGGUAAGGGGAAUUCAUCCUUUAGACAUGCCUUGUUGAGGUCUGUAAAAUCAAUGCACAUUCUCCACUUCCCAUUGGCCUUUUUUACCAUAACAGUGUUAGCCAGCCACUCUAGAUAUGUUACUUCCCUAAUAACACCGGCACUGAGAAGCCUCUUUACUUCAUUUCGUGUACCUUCAGCUUUAUCCUCAAACAUUUUCUGAAGUCUUUGUUUUCUUGGCCUGGAAGAUGGAUCCACAUUGAGUGAAUGCUCAAUGACAUCUCUAUUAACACCACAAAGAUCGUUAGCUGUCCAAGCGAAGACAUCUUUGUUGUUGAACAAAAACCUUAGCAGAGUCUUUUCUUGUUCACCAGAUAACUGAGAUCCCAGCAGUACCUUUUGAUCUGCUAUGUCUUCACAUAGGAGCAUAGGCUUCAGUUGAUCUGCCGAAACAACCUUCUCUCUUUUGUGUUUAUAUUGCUGACAGGCUUCAGCUCCAUCUAUGUUAUGGAUAGCCUUUGAAUCCGUCCAACUCCCUUCAGCCCUCCUGGCGGCUUCUUGACUCCCAUGAACAGCAAUAGGCCCUUGUUCCGAAGGUAUCUUCAUGCAUAAGUAUGCUGGAUGGAGUAUUGCUUCGAAGGCAUUAAGCGUCCCUCGACCAAUGAUUGCGUUGUAUGGGUACUCCAUGUCAACAAUGUCAAAGACAACUUGUUCAGUUCUUGUGUUGUGGACGUAACCGAAGGUAACUGACAUUGUUAUUUUGCCAAGUGCCACAAUCCGUCAUCCUCCGAAGCCACAAAGAGGGUGUGUUGCAUCAUGUAUCUUGUCUUCUAUCUCUUGCAUCUGUCUGAAAGCCUUUGCAAAGAUGAUGUCUGCUGCACUGCUUGUGUCAACCGGAACAUUAUGGACCAAAAAUCCCUUGAUAACACAAGAUAUAACCAUGGCAUCAUUGUGAGGAUAAUCUUUAAGCUGAAGAUCUUCCUGGGAGAAGGUAAUUGGGAUGUGAGACCACUUGGAUCUGAUGAAGGUUCCUUGCAUCCCAACAUGCUGCACUCUUCUUUGUGCUUCCUUCUUUUGCUUCUUGUUAGCUGGUUCUGAGCUUGAACCACCUGUGAUUGGGAGCACCAGCUUUGUGACCGAAGGUGCCACAACUUGGCUAUUGUAUGAAGCCAUCGUCACAACAGUGGAAUUGAGUUCACCGGAGGUGGGCACCAAUGUUGGUCACUUGUUCUCAAAAGCUAUAAAUCAAGAACAAGGCAACACAAAUGUUAAUGGUUAAAGACCUUCGUCCUUCACACAUUAUCUCCUUUAGGAUAUAAUGAUCUUCAGACGAAGGUCAUGAAGGACGUACCUUCAUCAUUUCAAUAUGCAAAGAUAUAAACAGAAACAUAUGAAACGCAAAAAGAGUAUGAAUAAUCAUUUUAAAUCAUUAGACUAUUCACAUUAUCAUUAUAUAAUCGUGAACAAACAUCAAUGAUAUUUAAAUUACAUUUGUACCUUCGCUUGAUAGAAGGUAAAGAUCCAGGAGUGACGCGUGAGUGAUUACAAGUCAGCGUGAACAGUACGGGGUUACUGUUCAUCUAUUUAUAGGCACCAGACACAGCCCGAAAAAAAUUACAUUCGUGUCCUUGAUAACUAAUCAUAACCAUAAUACAAAUUAUCAGGGACUAUGUGGUCUUUUCCUCUUUAAGUCGGUGCCAUCCUUCGUCUUAAGCAUGUCAUCAUGCAGAAGCUCUUUCAAUUGUAGCUUCGGCAUAUAUCUUCAUGUCGUAUCUGCUUGUGUAUCGUCUUGUCGAAGGUGUUUUUGCUUGGAGGACCUUCGACGAAGAAGAAGGCCCCCAACACUGAGCAUUGCGUUUAAUAAGUUGGCCAAAUUUUAUUAGUAGUUACUAAAUGUAAGUAGAUACCAAACCAGAAUAAUAAUAGAUCAAAAUUAAUAAUAAAUCCCAAUGCGAUGCAAAAGACAAAUUGAAUUUAGUUCCAUAAUUUAAUCAUGUGAGAGUCCUGAGCUGCUCAUGACCGCAAGCACGACUAGUAUACCAGUUUUACACUCUGUAGAGGUUGUACCCUAUACCCACAAGUCGUGUAUCCCAUGCUGCUUGGGUUUGCAAGGCCCUUAGACACUGCCGAGGUGAAUGGAUAGGGAUCCACUAUGAGGCCUUUACAAGGUUCCACUAGCUUCAGAAAAUCCGCUACAGUUCAAGGAAGAGUAAUGCAGGAAUCCCCUGUCUGACCGCCAUCGCAGCAAAAUCAACCCGGGAACCUCCCUACAUGCCUAAUCCCCUACUGCCCUUGCCCCUAUCGGGUAAGGUAGUCCUCCACUAGCUUUCCUAGUAAGUCAGCCAAGGGCGUCCCAUUCCACCCUUGUGGUGGCACGUGUUUCUCAAGUUAAGCUUCAUGUUAUAAUUAAAAUAAUAGUCUUAUCAUGAGCAGAAAUAGAACAAUAAUAAAGAAUAAUCAUGUGUAAUAGUUAUCUCAACACCCAAAACUAUGUAUAGCAAUAGCAAUGACUACCCAAAAAUUCAGGGGUAAACAAGGUGAAAAGAUAACCAGACUAGGGCGACCUAUUGGGUCCCAUCAAAAUUAAGCCUAUGCAUGAAUAAAUGAUUAUAAAGAACAUUAUUGGGUAAUAAAAGUGGUCAAGGGCACAACUUGCCUUCAAUGAGCUCAUGCUCAUCAACUUCUACCUACUGAACAAUCGGAUCCUCGGCCACUUGCUCUUCUACUCGCCACAAUACAAACAAGCAUAGUACAAGGGAGAAAUUAACAUCACACCAAACAUGUAUACAAAACACAUAUUAAUAAUCUACACAUUAAAACGAGAUAAUAGGAAAAAAAUCACUAAAUUCAGAGUUACGGAUUUCGAGUUAUAAAUUUUGGAAGGUUUUAUGUGUUUGGUAAAAGAUUAAUUAAGUGAUCAAAUUUAAUAUGAGUUUCAUGUUAAAAUAGUGUUACCAGUUGAUAGAUAGUAUUAAUACAAAAUUAUAGGAACUGGAGUGGAUCAAUUUGGACUUAAAAUGAAUUAAAUAUGAAUUAUACAAGUUUCUGGAAUUAUAUUUGUAUUAAAAAUCAAUUUCUAUAAUAAUUUAUCUAAUUUCUUUGAUCACUGGACUGCGCGCACAAAAACAGAGAACUACAGGGGCUGCUACGUAAAAAGUUCAUGACUCAGAGUACGCCAGCGAUGGACUGCGAGUUCAUUAGAUGGUUCUCAAGGGUCUCUUAAGCAAAAUAGUCACGACUGGGGGUCUAUAGGCACCCACGGGCCACAAGAUCAGAGAUCGAGGACCCGGAUUAAGUCACGAAGCGGUACGUCCCACAGACCACCGGAUCGAAUAUCUAAGGCCACGAUUUUAUUAGGCUGGAUCUGCUUACAUCCGUCCGAUCUAAUCCAAGGGUCACGAUCUAAUCACGAAGGGAUACAUAUACUUUCUAAUCGGGACCGUGAAUCAUGCAAUCGAUGGCGUGGAUUUUAAAUGUCCUAGAUUGCGCUGGGUCUGUUUGUUCGUGAUCCGAUGGCUCAGGACGAAUCACGCGAAGGGUUAUUGUGACGUCUAAUCUACACCGCCCAAAACCGGAUGGACGACCGAGGGAUCCCAUUCUCCCUCCCAGCCAACCGUGGCGGCGCCGCCCGAUGUCGCGGUGGUUCCAAACCGGAGUUUCCCCCAUCACGCACGGUAGGGCGCUAAUCCCUAAUUCUAACCGCACUAUGCCACACCAAGGAAAGGAUGGACAAAAGGGUGCACUUAUUACCUUGGUAUGGAGCACGAGUGACACUAUCCGCGCAACGGCGCGGCUCUGCGGCAAGCUUCAACUACGGCGAGGAAUUCCACACGCCCAAGGGCACGAUUGUCCGAGAAACGGGUCUGAGUGACUUCCCCCUGCGUUCAGGCGAGAUUCUGUGGCUCCAAUCAGGCACUCGACGACGGUGGGGGCGAGUAGCUACGAGGCGGCUGCGUCGUCUCUCAAUGGCGGAGUAUGACACGGUCUCUGCAGUUGCUGGCGAGGGUUCCCUAUCUAAGUGCUUAAGUGGCCCACAAUGAAAACAGGGGCAACCACAUUUGUAGCCACGGCGUGCGCGAGUCCGCGCAAGGAUGUGACAACGGCAGCGCGACAUUUGCGAUGAGCUAAUGGCUUGUGGACGGGGUGGGAGGACCUGACGUGUGGGGGCCACAGUCAGCGCACAGCGUUCGCAGUC